rnacentral:lncRNA from 1 species
CAGACCAAAAUUCCUCCCCUUGUGGCCUUAAUACCAUAAGCCUUGUAGGCAGGACAUUUUGGUCCCCUGAGGUAAUAUGAGGUAAUAUGAAGAUUGGUUCAGCAAUAGCAGAGCUACUGUACUUGGGGGUUAAUAUGCAACUUUUCUGUUCUUCAAGUGGUCAUAAAAAUUCUUAGAAUCCCCUGGUUAUGUCUCAUGGUUCUUUCAUUUACUCAGAAGGUAUUUAUUGGGCAUCUUGUAUUGAUCACAGCACUGUGAAUCCAGAAAUAAAAGCCAGUGCCUUUGCCAAGCUACAGAGUUAAAGAAAAGAAAAAUGAAAUGAAUAAAAGUAAAAGAAAACCUGUGCCUGUCUACAAGGAGCUCAGGUCAGACGAGGGCAGGGAUUGUGGCUAUCAAGCACCUCCCAUAUGCCUAGCUAGGAGCCAGGCUUGGGAACUCUCAAAUGGGUAAUUCCCGGUCCUUGUUAUCAGCUAGCUCACAACAUGCUGACCUCAGGCUUUCUCUUACUCUAGCAGAAACAGGUAUGUUUUACUUUGUGUCCCACUAUGGAUAGACUGCUGAAUACAUCAGGUAUGUUCAAGCAUUACCACAUCUCUAUUUGUUUCCGUAUCUCAGUAACAGCAGAGAUGAGCUGAGAAUGAAUCAGAACGUGCCCUGUAGUGACAUUGAUAUAUUUCCUGAGGUACAUCACGAUAGUCUAGGGGACAAAGGGCGCAGGGAAGCCCAGUGUACUCUUUAUGUCUACACUUGAUCUUAGCCAGAAGGCUGAGAAGUGAUACUUUUUAUGUCUUACCUCUGUUUCUGGUGACUACAGAUAAGAGACUCAUCCCUUGAUUCACUCAUUCAGCAAAUAUGACUGAGCACCGUCUCUAAGCAGGACAUUUGCCUUGUCCUCAGGGAGCAUAGUUGGCAAGGAAUCUAGACAGCAGCCCUUCUUGAGCUUGACAUUGAUCUUCUCAUGAGGAGGACUGGGCUCCAGGUGGGGAAAGAACCCCAUCCUCACUUGUGGGCUAGACGACCUGGGAGUCCACAGACACUGAAGACACAUCAUUCUUCCUAUUCAUUUCAACCUUCCCUCGACAGAUCUUCCUGGGACCAGGUCUUCAGGACAGUGUGAGCUAGGUUUAUUGAAGUGCUCUGGGCUGAUGUCAUUACAUUUGUAACUUCCAUGCCCCCCAAAAAUGUUUUGAAGACAUUCAUUUUAUCAAAAUACAACAUACAUGCAGAAAAAUGCCCACAUUUUAACUUACGGCUUGAAGUGAAGUUACCCAUGCAACACCCACCCACAUCAAGAAGUAGAACAUUCCCAGCACCCCCAGAAGCCUUCUUGAGGCCCUCCCUGCUCUUCCUGCCCCAACCAAGUUAUCAGCUCAGAUUCAGUGAGUGCUUUGUGGAAGGUUGGCAGAGGGUCGCGAGGGUCCUCUACAUUUGUUCUCCAGUAUCCAGUAUCAACACUGGUUACCAAAGAGGAAGGACGGACUAUUGGUGCCCCUGGUCCCAGUGAUUAGAAAUGUAAGUGAAACACCCCACCUCAUCUCAUAAGCUGCUUUGAGAUUAUGAGUAUGUGUCUAUAGAACAGGUUGUUUUCUCUCAGACUCAGGCAGUGUCUCCAGGUUCCCCCUGGAGAGAGAUAGUCUUCUCUGUCUGUGUCCUCGAGUGGCACUCUGACAGUGCUAUUUCUGACCCUGGCAUUCAAGUCUUCUGAAGCCGUUACAUUCGCUGAUGGCUACUUAGAGCCCAGUAAAGGUCAGAACCAUCAGACUGAACCAGACCAUGAAACAGCGCUGCUCCUGUGGGGGCGAGGGCUGGGGUGUGGAAGCGAUGUCUGCGGGCCUCGGCCUGGCAGCCCCGCCCCUGGGCUCCCUGGGCUUUCUAUCUUAUGCUUCUCCCUCCCUCCUGUCUUCUGUCCUCAGUUCCUCACUCACCCUGGCCUGUUUCGGGGAGUGGUUAUGGGUUGGAAGUCAUGGGUGUUAGUGUGAAAAUACCCUCACUCAAAAAGUGACAGAACUGAAAACGUGGUAGAUGGUAUUGUCCCUGCAGUUCUUGUCAGUGGGGUCCUGGAAUGAUGUUAUCCCGGCAAGUGGAGGAGGGGCCCAGUGACCGGGGCCCUGGCUCUUUGAAUUGUCCCACAAAGAGGCUUUCCAGGUUCCCCCUCUGUUCUUUCUCGCAGGCUGGUGUUCACAUCAGGGGCUCAUGCAGGGGUGCCAUGGGGUUUCUGUAGGGGGCCGCCCUUGCAGGGCCAGCUUUGUGGGGGGAGUCUCUCAACCACCUGCACACAGAUACUUGCCUGUACAGGGCCUGGGCUGUCCUCCCAGCUGCCCCUUCACUCCAGUGCCAUCUGAUGUGACCCUGACGGCUGGCCAUGUGCCGAGCACUGUUCUAAACUUUACACGCAAAGUAAAAGUAAAAGAAAAAUUAGUCAAAGCAGAAUAAUUUUGCCUAAAAUAGUCUAAAAGAUAUGUAAUUAAAAUGACAUGAUGGGCCAGGCACGGUGGCUCACGCCUGUAAUCCCAGCACUUUGGGAGGCCGAGACGGGCGGAUCACGAGGUCAA